rnacentral:rRNA from 1 species
CCUACGGGAGGCAGCAGUGGGGAAUAUUGCUCAAUGGGGGAAACCCUGAAGCAGCGACGCCGCGUGAGGGAAGAAGUAAUUCGGUAUGUAAAGCCCUAUUAGUAGGGAAGAAAAUGACGGUACCUGAGUAAGAAGCCCCGGCGAACUACGUUCCAGCAGCCGCGGUAAUACGUAGGGGGCAAGCGUUAUUCGGAUUUACUGGGUGUAAAGGGAGCGUAGUCGGGAGUGCAAGUCUGGCGUGAAAGUCUGGGGCUCAACCACCGGACUGCAGUGGAAACUGUACGGCUGGAGUGCGGGAGAGGUAGGUGGAAUUCGUGGUGUAGCGGUGAAAUGCGUAGAUAUCACGAGGAACACCGAUUGCGAAGGCGGCUUACUGGACUGUAACUGACGUUGAGGCUCGAAAGCGUGGGGAGCAAACAGGAUUAGAUACCCUUGUAGUC